UUUGAGCACGAAUUGCCACUAAUUUGUUUGUGAAAUUAAUUUCACAAACAAAUUAGUGGCAAUUCGUGCAACUC
rnacentral:sRNA from 3 species